rnacentral:rRNA from 1 species
AUAUUGGACAAUGGGCGAAAGCCUGAUCCAGCCAUGCCGCGUGUGUGUAGAAGGUCUUCGGAUUGUAAAGCACUUUAAGUUGGGAGGAAGGGGUUGAAGCUAAUACCUUCCAUCUUUGCCGUUCCCAACACAAUAAUCACCGGCUAACUCUGUGCCAGCAGCCGCGGUAAUACAGAGGGUGCAAGCGUUAAUCGGAAUUACUGGGCGUAAAGCGCGCGUAGGUGGUGCAGUAAGAUGGAAGUGAAAUCCCCGGGCUUAACCUGGGAACUGCUUUCAUAACUGAUGAGCUAGAGUACGGUAGAGGGUAGUGGAAGUUCCUGUGUAGCGGUGAAAUGCGUAGAUAUAGGAAGGAACACCAGUGGCGAAGGCGACUACCUGGACUGAUACUGACACUGAGGUGCGAAAGCGUGGGGAGCAAACAGG